rnacentral:rRNA from 1 species
GCAGUCGAGCGGGCGAGGUUGCUUCGGUAACUGAGCUAGCGGCGGACGGGUGGGUAAAGCUUAGGAAUCUGCCUAUUAGUGGGGGACAACAUUCCGAAAGGAAUGCUAAUACCGCAUACGUCCUACGGGAGAAAGCAGGGGAUCUUCGGACCUUGCGCUAAUAGAUGAGCCUAAGUCAGAUUAGCUAGUUGGUGGGGUAAAGGCCUACCAAGGCGACGAUCUGUAGCGGGUCUGAGAGGAUGAUCCGCCACACUGGGACUGAGACACGGCCCAGACUCCUACGGGAGGCAGCAGUGGGGAAUAUUGGACAAUGGGCGGAAGCCUGAUCCAGCCAUGCCGCGUGUGUGAAGAAGGCCUUUUGGUUGUAAAGCACUUUAAGCGAGGAGGAGGCUACCUAGAUUAAUACUCUGGGAUAGUGGACGUUACCCGCAGAAUAAGCACCGGCUAACUCUGUGCCAGCAGCCGCGGUAAUACAGAGGGUGCGAGCGUUAAUCGGAUUUACUGGGCGUAAAGCGUGCGUAGGCGGCUUUUUAAGUCGGAUGUGAAAUCCCUGAGCUUAACUUAGGAAUUGCAUUCGAUACUGGGAAGCUAGAGUAUGGGAGAGGAUGGUAGAAUUCCAGGUGUAGCGGUGAAAUGCGUAGAGAUCUGGAGGAAUACCGAUGGCGAAGGCAGCCAUCUGGCCUAAUACUGACGCUGAGGUACGAAAGCAUGGGGAGCAAACAGGAUUAGAUACCCUGGUAGUCCAUGCCGUAAACGAUGUCUACUAGCCGUUGGGGCCUUUGAGGCUUUAGUGGCGCAGCUAACGCGAUAAGUAGA